rnacentral:rRNA from 1 species
GACGAACGCUGGCGGCGUGCUUAACACAUGCAAGUCGAACGGAAAGGCCCCCAUCUUGGUGGGGGUGCUCGAGUGGCGAACGGGUGAGUAACACGUGGGUGAUCUGCCCUGUACUUCGGGAUAAGCUUGGGAAGCUGGGUCUAAUACCGGAUAGGACCAUGGUUUAGUGUCUCAUGGUGGACAGAUUAUUGUUUUGGUUCAGGAUGAGCUCGCGGCCUAUCAGCUUGUUGGUGGGGUAAUGGCCUACCAAGGCGUCGACGGGUAGCCGGCCUGAGAGGGUGGACGGCCACAUUGGGACGGAGAUACGGCCCAGACUCCUAAGGGAGGCAGCAGUGGGGAAUAGUGAACAAUGGGAGCAAGCCUGAUGCAGCGACGCCGCGUGGGGGAUGACGGCCUUCGGGUUGUAAACUCCUUUCGUUAGGGACGAAGCCGCACUUUUUUUGGGUGUGGUGACGGUACCUUUGUGAAGAAGCACCGGCUAACUACGUG